AAUACUUGUCGCUUUGAGUUUUUGUUUGUAACUUUUGAUCAUUCGUCUUAUUCAAAAAAUUAUAGAAUUAUUAUUUAUUUUGUUUGUAACUUGCUUUAUUAUCAAAAAUACUUUACGUAUGACUUAUCCGUUUUUAUAUUUGCACUAAUUUUUCAAAUAAGACGAAUGGUCAAACAUUGCAAGAAAAGAGCCAAAAUGACCACUAAU
rfam:Oryza glaberrima chromosome 9 Oglab09_0011_25, whole genome shotgun sequence.